rnacentral:rRNA from 1 species
CGGCGAGCGAAGCGGGAAGAGCUCAAAUUUGUAAUCUGGUACCUUCGGUGCCCGAGUUGUAAUCUCGAGAAGUGUUUUCCGUGCCAGACCGCAUACAAGUCUGUUGGAAUACAGCGUCAUAGUGGUGAGAACCCCGUAGAUGAUGCGGAUGCCUGGUGCUCUGUGAUACACUUUCGAAGAGUCGAGUUGUUUGGGAAUGCAGCUCAAAUUGGGUGGUAAAUUCCAUCUAAAGCUAAAUAUUGGCGAGAGACCGAUAGCGAACAAGUACCGUGAGGGAAAGAUGAAAAGCACUUUGGAAAGAGAGUUAACAGUACGUGAAAUUGUUGGAAGGGAAACGCUUGAAGUCAGACUUGCUAGUUGGAGUUCAGCCGCAAGGUGUAUUCUUCAAUUUGCAGGCCAGCAUCAGUUUUUGGGGGUAGAAAAGGGUCUUUGGAAUGUGGCAACCUCGGUUGUGUUAUAGCCUUUGACUGGAUCUAUCCCUGGGGACUGAGGAACGCAGCGUACUUUUUGCAAGUCCUUCGGGUCUUUUUACGCUUAGGAUGCUGGUGGAAUGGCUUUAAACGACCCGUCUUGA